AACGAACGCUGGCGGCAUGCCUAACACAUGCAAGUCGAACGAGACCUUCGGGUCUAGUGGCGCACGGGUGCGUAACGCGUGGGAACCUGCCCUUAGGUACGGAAUACCUCCCCGAAAGGGGUGUUAAUACAGGAUAAUGUCUUCGGACCAAGGAUUUAUCGCCUUUGGAUGGGCCCGCGUAGGAUUUGCUAGUUGGUAGGGUAAAAGCCUACCAAGGCGACGAUCCAUAGCUGGUCUGAGAGGAUGAUCAGCCGGACUGGGAUAGAGACACGGCCCAGACUCCUACGAGAGGUAGCAGUGAUGGAAAAAUGACAGUGGGCGAAAGGCUGAAACAGCAAGGCCGGGAGAAUGAUGAAGGCCUUAGGGAUGUAAAGCUCUUUUACCCGGGAGGAUAAGGACAUAACGGGUAGAAUAAGCACGGGUAACCACCGG
rnacentral:rRNA from 1 species